AAGACAAGAAGCCCCUGUAAAUUUUUAUUAAAUAUAAUUAUUAUAAUUUUAUAUUUAAUUUAAUUGGGGCAAUUAAUAAAAAAUAAAUAACUUUAUUUUUAACCUAUUUUUAGAAAUUAUAAAAAUACUUCAGGGAUAACAGCGUUAUUAUUUUGGAUAGUUCAUAUUGAUAAAAUAGUUUACGACCUCGAUGUUG
rnacentral:rRNA from 1 species